AGAACGAACGCUGGCGGCAUGCCUAAUACAUGCAAGUCGAACGAACACUUCGGUGUUAGUGGCGCACGGGUGCGUAACGCGUGGGAAUCUGCCCUUGGGUUCGGAAUAACAGUUGGAAACGACUGCUAAUACCGGAUGAUAUCGAAAGAUCAAAGAUUUAUCGCCCAGGGAUGAGCCCGCGUAGGAUUAGCUAGUUGGUGAGGUAAAGGCUCACCAAGGCGACGAUCCUUAGCUGGUCUGAGAGGAUGAUCAGCCACACUGGGACUGAGACACGGCCCAGACCCCUACGGGAGGCAGCAGUAGGGAAUAUUGGACAAUGGGCGCAAGCCUGAUCGGCAAUGCCGCGUGAGUGAUGAAGCCUUAGGGUUGUAAAGCUCUUUACCCGAGAUGAUAAUGACAGUAUCGGAGAAUAAGCCCCGGCUAACUCCGUGCCAGCAGCCGC
rnacentral:rRNA from 1 species